rnacentral:misc_RNA from 1 species
AGCAGCAAAACCUCUAAGGUCAUAGCAUUUAUCCCUUUAAAAUUUUAGUUAGGGAUGUUUUGUUAUUUAAAUUCAAUGUCAGGACAUCAUUAUCAUUUUGAUUAUAAGUUGUGAAAGAGAAACAUACAAAAAGGAAAAGAUUUUGACUCAGACCAACGCAACUGACAUACGCUUUCUUUACACAUUGCGAAAGCCCCAUAACAGAAUAAAAACAUGCAUUUGCAGAGCCCUACCAUUCCAUUAACAUUAAUGCACAAGAUUUGUGCCAAACCAGACUAGUAUUUCACAUAGAGAUACGAAGUAACAUCUCAUGGGUGCCUUAAAAACCAAAUAUUUGGGGUUCAGAAAACACAUAUAUCCCCGCAUGAUUCAACACGAGAGUACUGUUACGGCUCUCUCAUGUUCAAGUUCGAGAAAGAAAAUCACAUUACAAUCCGCUACACAGAAAUUGGCAACCAAAAUAACAUACUCCCAGUCCAUCUUGCCUCAUCUACUGCGCCUGGGUGACAAGUCAGCGGACCUAGAUCUAGAACCAGUGGGUGACCUUGAAGCUCUACCAGGUGAUGGCCUCCAAGCUCUUGCAUCCUCAGAAUCAUAUGGAGGUUUCCUAUGAUAUAUUCACAUAUUGCUCAGUCACUUAAAUUACAAAACAAUAAUCAAUUGUAAUUGUGAGAACAAAUUAAAUAAUGCAUUCCUCUUCUCAGAAGAAGAGUCCACAAGUCUGCCCCCCUUAGUAUAAGGUUUACAAGAAUCACAUGCUUGAAACAAAGUACAAGGGAAGAUGCAUCAAACAAGAAUAAAGGACUAAAAUGAAAGUAACUUGAAACUGGCACGUAACAGCUCAACUAAUUGGGCAUUCUACUGGGGUUUUAAAGAAUUCAUAUCACUUUUUUAUCUACUACUAUUCUGAGUUACAAAGGCUGCACUACUAAAAUAAUUAUCGUAUAAGCAUGAAUAUCACUGGUCACCAUAGAUGCCAUCAUUUUAAGAUUACAACCCACUACAAAUACAUGGCAUGGGAUUUGGUAUUGAUUGCGCUGCAUGACAACAAAAUCUUGAAAUGGUAGAAUAGAGAAACUACUUACUCGCCAUAACCAUGGCCAUUUUCAUCCGCACCAUAACCAGGAGAAUAUGACCUGCGAAUGUGAUCACCAUCUUGCUCUGGUGGAGGACCACCAGGAGACCUAAGAUGGUCUGCAUGCCUUCUACCUGGGGAAGCAGAGUAGUCCCGCCGCCUUGAGGCAGGAGAAUACGACCUUGAACGAUAUCGAGACCGAGAACUCAUAUGAUGACGAGGGGAGCGUGAUCGGGAUGGUGAUCGAGACCGAGAAUGUCCUGAAGCAUAUUGUAUACAUAACAGUGAUUAUUUUGUUGGGAAUAUUAAGAGAAUUUGACAGUGAAAGAGCAAGGACAUUCAUACAUAGAUCAAUACAGAGUAACAUAUUCAAUUAGAAAUUUUAAAAGAAAUUUAAUUGAGAGCCUCAUUUUUGGGCUUUAUCAUCAGCAUAUACUCAAAUUCAAUCUAAUCACAAUCUAGCAUGAACUUUUAAGAUAUCAAAAGACACCCAUCAUUCAAAGUACAUAGUAGUAUAUAGAUUCACAUGUCAUGAAAGUCAUUAAUAUUCAAAGCUAUAUCACCAAAAUGACCCUUGAAUAAAGGAUUCAAAUGAUGGGGGGACAAGCCACACAUUUGAAAGAUGAAAGGCAGCCAAAAACAUGCAUGGAAAACAUAGUAUUACUUUAUUAAAGGAGGAAAAAAAAUACAUUUAACAGGCCAGGUGCCUAAAUCCAACAAAUUAAACAAGGCCUAGGAGGAUAUGAUCUGACCAUACGAGCAUUUCACAUAUGUAUAAAAGAAAUUAUAACAAAACCUUGGAAAAGCGCACAUAAUAAUAAACCUCCCUACCAUAUAAAGGUAAUUUCAGGCCUCAGGGUUAAGCUUUGGUGAUUAUUCAAUAAAGAAAAGCCCAAGAAAUAAGAGCAAUGCAAGAAGCAGAAAAUUUGCAAUCACAACCAAAACAUGUGCAGUGGUUAUUAAAAUGAGAGCAACAAUUUCAAAAACUCAAUACUAUCAAAAACAAAAUUUUGACAAGUUUCAGCAUAAAAUACCAUAAUAAGAUGAUCGUCCUCCAUAGCCUGAUGGUCCUCUAACCCUAGCUCUUUGCCGCAUUUCCUCAGGCCUUUUCCUUGUCUCUGCUGCAACCACAACAGAUAUUUCCCUCCCAGCAAAAAUUUGUCCAUUCAUGCGACGCUGAGCUUCCAUGGCAUCAUAUGAAUCCAAAAACUGCACAAAUGCAAACCCACGAGGUUCCCCUGUGUAAUAGUCCUUUGGAAUAUACACGUCCCUUACAACUCCAAAUCUCUCAAAUGGAACUCUAAGUUCUUCUGGUCUGCAAUCAAGAGGGAUGUUUCGAACCAGUAGGCUUCCAUGAUUCUGCUCCUUGCGUCUCCCAUACCCCCCACCACCUCCAUAUCCUCUCCUUGGUGGGCUUCUGACUCGGCCUCCAUAUCCUCUCCUUGGAGGACUAUAAUAUGGUGGACUGUACCUUCUCAUAAUAUUGCCUAUAAAAAUAAACAUAGUCUAAGUAAAUAUAACUGCCCAUUUUUUACUAACAAAUUGAAAUUCAUCAAAACAUUACCCCAUGGCACAUUUCCCUUCUCCCUCUCUUUGUUCUAGCAAUACAUACAAGCUACCAUAUUAUAUAUAUAAAGUUUUUCCUUAACAAAAGAAUAUCAAGUCAUUCAAAUAGAUGCAGGGUAUAGCAAUUCAAUCACAUGUACAUAAAUCCCAGGCAUAAUUCUUGCACACAUUUUUACCUGGGU